rnacentral:rRNA from 1 species
UACGGAAGCAGCAGUGGGGAAUAUUGCACAAUGGGCGCAAGCCUGAUGCAGCCAUGCCGCGUGUAUGAAGAAGGCCUUCGGGUUGUAAAGUACUUUCAGUCGUGAGGAAGGUGUUAAGGUUAAUAACCUUAGCAAUUGACGUUAGCGACAGAAGAAGCACCGGCUAACUCCGUGCCAGCAGCCGCGGUAAUACGGAGGGUGCGAGCGUUAAUCGGAAUUACUGGGCGUAAAGGGCACGCAGGCGGUUAAUUAAGUUGGAUGUGAAAUCCCCGGGCUUAACCUGGGAAUGGCAUUCAAGACUGGUUAGCUAGAGUCUUGUAGAGGGGGUAGAAUUCCGAUGUGUAGCGGUGAAAUGCGUAGAGAUGUGGAGGAAUACCGGGUGGCGAAGGCGGCCCCUGGGACAAAGACUGACGCUCAUGUGCGAAAGCGUGGGGAGCAAACAGGGAUUAGAUACC